rnacentral:misc_RNA from 1 species
GAUGAAGAACGCAGCGAAAUGCGAUACGUAGUGUGAAUUGCAGAAUUCAGUGAAUCAUCGAAUCUUUGAACGCACAUUGCACCUCUCGGUAUUCCGGGAGGUAUGCCUGUUCGAGCGUCAUUUGUACCCUCAAGCUCUGCUUGGUGUUGGGUGUUUGUUCCGCCUCUGUGUGUGAACUCGCCUCAAAACAAUUGGCAGCCGGCGUACUUGUUUCGGAGCGCAGCACAUUUUGCGAUCCAGAUCAACGUACAGCGGCAUCCAAGAAGCCUUAUUUAACGCUCUUGACCUCGGAUCAGGUAGGGAUACCCGCUGAACUUAAGCAUAUCAAUAAGCGUAGGA